CCUACGUGAGGCAGCAGUAGGGAAUAUUGCUCCAUGGGGGAAACCCUGAAGCAGCAACGCCGCGUGGAGGAUGACGGUUUUCGGAUUGUAAACUCCUUUUGUUAGAGAAGAUAAUGACGGUAUCUAACGAAUAAGCACCGGCUAACUCCGUUCCAGCAGCCGCGUAAUACGGAGGGUACAAGCGUUACUCGGAAUCACUGGGCGUAAAGGGAGCGUAGGCGGGGUAGCAAGUCAGAUGUGAAAGCCUAGGGCUUAACCAUAGCACUGAAGUUGAAACUGUUAUUCUAGAGUAUGGGAGAGGUAGGUGGAAUUCUUGGUGUAGGGGUAGAAUCCUGAGAGAUCAAGAGGAAUACUCAUUGCGAAGGCGACCUGCUAGAACAUAACUGACGCUGAUGCGCGAAAGCGUGGGGAGCAAACAGGAUUAGAUACCCCAGUAGUC
rnacentral:rRNA from 1 species